GGAAAGGCGCGCGAUACAGGGUGACAGCCCCGUACACAAAAAUGCACAUGCUGUGAGCUCGAUGAGUAGGGCGGGACACGUGGUAUCCUGUCUGAAUAUGGGGGGACCAUCCUCCAAGGCUAAAUACUCCUGACUGACCGAUAGUGAACCAGUACCGUGAGGGAAAGGCGAAAAGAACCCCGGCGAGGGGAGUGAAAAAGAACCUGAAACCGUGUACGUACAAGCAGUGGGAGCACAGAGCAAUCUGUGUGACUGCGUACCUUUUGUAUAAUGGGUCAGCGACUUAUAUUCUGUAGCAAGGUUAACCGAAUAGGGGAGCCGAAGGGAAACCGAGUCUUAACUGGGCGUUAAGUUGCAGGGUAUAGACCCGAAACCCGGUGAUCUAGCCAUGGGCAGGUUGAAGGUUGGGUAACACUAACUGGAGGACCGAACCGACUAAUGUUGAAAAAUUAGCGGAUGACUUGUGGCUGGGGGUGAAAGGCCAAUCAAACCGGGAGAUAGCUGGUUCUCCCCGAAAGCUAUUUAGGUAGCGCCUCGUGAAUUCAUCUCCGGGGGUAGAGCACUGUUUCGGCAAGGGGGUCAUCCCGACUUACCAACCCGAUGCAAACUGCGAAUACCGGAGAAUGUUAUCACGGGAGACACACGGCGGGUGCUAACGUCCGUCGUGAAGAGGGAAACAACCCAGACCGCCAGCUAAGGUCCCAAAGUCAUGGUUAAGUGGGAAACGAUGUGGGAAGGCCCAGACAGCCAGGAUGUUGGCUUAGAAGCAGCCAUCAUUUAAAGAAAGCGUAAUAGCUCACUGGUCGAGUCGGCCUGCGCGGAAGAUGUAACGGGGCUAAACCAUGCACCGAAGCUGCGGCAGCGACGCUGAUGCGUUGUUGGGUAGGGGAGCGUUCUGUAAGCCUGUGAAGGUGUGCUGUGAGGCAUGCUGGAGGUAUCAGAAGUGCGAAUGCUGACAUAAGUAACGAUAAAGCGGGUGAAAAGCCCGCUCGCCGGAAGACCAAGGGUUCCUGUCCAACGUUAAUCGGGGCAGGGUGAGUCGACCCCUAAGGCGAGGCCGAAAGGCGUAGUCGAUGGGAAACAGGUUAAUAUUCCUGUACUUGGUGUUACUGCGAAGGGGGGACGGAGAAGGCUAUGUUGGCCGGGCGACGGUUGU
rnacentral:rRNA from 1 species